rnacentral:rRNA from 1 species
UACGUAGGGGGCAAGCGUUGUCCGGAAUUAUUGGGCGUAAAGAGCGUGUAGGCGGCCCGAUUAGUCCGCUGAUGAAAGUCCAGGGCUCAACCCCUGGAAUGCCGGUGGAAACUGUCGGGCUAGAGUCCGGAAGAGGCGAGUGGAAUUCCCGGUGUAGCGGUGAAAUGCGCAGAUAUCGGGAGGAACACCAAUGGCGAAGGCAGCUCGCUGGGACGGUACUGACGCUGAGACGCGAAAGCGUGGGGAGCAAACAGGGAUUAAGAAACC